rnacentral:lncRNA from 1 species
UGCAUUGGCAAGUGGAAUCCAACAACCAGGAGGUCUCCAAGGGAACAACCAGCCUAUGUUUUUGAAUCAGCAAUCACAGCAGACUUACUUACCUGCUGAAAAUCACCAAUAUGGAUCACCGUCAGGCAUGCAGCAGCAUGUUAUGUCAACCAGGGGGCAACAACAUGGAAUGCUGCUGGAUAACCAGAGAUCUCACCAGCAACCUGGUUCAUCAGUGAGAGGCCAGCAGACUUGCUCACCUGCUGGAAAUCAACAAUAUGGAUCACCGUCAGGCAUGCAGCAGCAUGUUAUGUCAACAAGGGAGCAACAACAUGGGAUGCUGCUUGAUAACCAGAGAUCUCAACUUCUGAUGAGAAACCAGCAACCUGGUUCAUCUAUGAGAGGCCAGCAGACUUGCUUACUUGCUGGAAAUCAACAAUAUGGAUCACUGUCAGCUAUGCAGCAGCCUGUUAUGUCGCCCAGGCAGCAACAACAUGGGAUGCUGCUGGAGAACCAGGAAUCUCAAUUUCUGAUGAGUAACCAGCAACCUGGUUCAUCAAUGAGGGGCCAGCAGCCUUGCGUACCUUUGAUGAACAGGCAACUUGGAACUCCUAAAGGUUUUACUCACUUGAAUCAGAUGGUAGCUG